rnacentral:Y_RNA from 1 species
GGCUGGUCUGAGUGCAGUGAUGUUUAUAUCUAAUUGAUUACAACUGGUUACAGAUUCCUUUGUUCCUUCUCCACUCCCACUGCCGCACUUGACUAGCCUACA